AUUGAACGCUGGCGGCAGGCUUAACACAUGCAAGUCGAGCGGAGAUGAGGUGCUUGCACCUUAUCUUAGCGGCGGACGGGUGAGUAAUGCUUAGGAAUCUGCCUAUUAGUGGGGGACAACAUUCCGAAAGGAAUGCUAAUACCGCAUACGCCCUACGGGGGAAAGCAGGGGAUCUUCGGACCUUGCGCUAAUAGAUGAGCCUAAGUCGGAUUAGCUAGUUGGUGGGGUAAAGGCCUACCAAGGCGACGAUCUGUAGCGGGUCUGAGAGGAUGAUCCGCCACCCUGGGACUGAGACACGGCCCAGACUCCUACGGGAGGCAGCAGUGGGGAAUAUUGGACAAUGGGCGGAAGCCUGAUCUAGCCAUGCCGCGUGUGUGAAGAAGGCCUUUUGGUUGUAGAGCACUUUAAGCGAGGAGGAGGCUACCUGGAUUAAUACUCUAGGAUAGUGGACGUUACUCGCAGAAUAAGCACCGGCUAACUCUGUGCCAGCCGCCGCGGUAAAAC
rnacentral:rRNA from 1 species